GACGAACGCUGGCGGCGUGCUUAACACAUGCAAGUCGAACGGAAAGGCCCUGCUUUUGUGGGGUGCUCGAGUGGCGAACGGGUGAGUAACACGUGAGUAACCUGCCCUUGACUUUGGGAUAACUUCAGGAAACUGGGGCUAAUACCGGAUAGGAGCUCCUGCUGCAUGGUGGGGGUUGGAAAGUUUCGGCGGUUGGGGAUGGACUCGCGGCUUAUCAGCUUGUUGGUGGGGUAGUGGCUUACCAAGGCUUUGAAGGGUAGCCGGCCUGAGAGGGUGACCGGGGACAUUGGGACUGAGGGACGGCCCAGACUGCUACGGGAGGCAGCAGUGGGGAAUAUUGCACAAUGGGCGGAAGCCUGAUGCAGCAACGCCGCGUGCGGAAUGACGGCCUUCGGGGUGUAAACCGCUUUCGCCUGUGACAAAGCGGGAGUGACGGUAAUUGGUAAAGAAGCACCGGCUAACUACGUG
rnacentral:rRNA from 1 species